GACGAACGCUGGCGGCGUGCUUAACACAUGCAAGUCGAACGAUGAAGCCGGAGCUUGCUCUGGUGAAUUAGUGGCGAACGGGUGAGUAACACGUGAGUAACCUGCCCUUGACUCUGGGAUAACUGCUAGAAAUGGUAGCUAAUACCGGAUACGACCCUCGGCGGCAUCGCCAGGGGGUGGAAAGAAUUUCGGUCAAGGAUGGACUCGCGGCCUAUCAGCUAGUUGGUGAGGUAACGGCUCACCAAGGCGACGACGGGUAGCCGGCCUGAGAGGGUGACCGGCCACACUGGGACUGGGACACGGCCCAGACUCCUACGGGAGGCAGCAGUGGGUAAUAUUGCACAAUGGGCGCAAGCCUGAUGCAGCAACGCCGUGUGAGGGAUGACGGCCUUCGGGUUGUAAACCUCUUUUAGUAGGGAAGAAGCGAAAGUGACGGUACCUGCAGAAAAAGCACCGGCUAACUACGUGCCAGCAGCCGCGGUAA
rnacentral:rRNA from 1 species